AGACGGAGGGCGCAAGCGUUGUUCGGAAUUACUGGGCGUAAAGGGCGGGCAGGCGGUCUGUUAAGUCUUUUGUGAAAAUCCGGGGCUCAACCCCGUGAAACGCAGAAGAUACUGGCAGACUUGAGACCAGUAGAGGCUAGCGGAAUUCCUGGUGUAGCGGUGGAAUGCGUAGAUAUCAGGAAGAACACCUGUGGCGAAGGCGGCUAGCUGGGCUGGAUCUGACGCUCAUCCGCGAAAGCGUGGGGAGCAAACAGGAUUAGAAACCCCAGUAGUCC
rnacentral:rRNA from 1 species